GCUGGGGCUCAGUGGUAGAGUGCUUGCCUAUCAUGUGUGAGGCACUGGGUUCAAUUCUCAGCACUGCA
rnacentral:tRNA from 1 species